UUUUGAAUUUGUCUGAUUUUAUAAACUAGUAAUUUUUAAGUGAUGUAUAACUUGGGGGUAUUCAAGACAAAUCAGACUAUUAAAAGGGGUACAGUAGUCUGGAAAGGUGAAAGCCACUGGUGUAGACAAGAUCUUAGAAAACAAACCUAGACCUUGAUCCUGCAAAUAUCUCGGCAUGUGUUUAAGCACAAGUAGUUCCAGUGUAAUCAUUGAGACUACCCCCAUGCUUAAAGAUAAGCACAUGCCCAAGUGUUUGUAGGAUCAGAGCCUUAGAAAGCAAUUUUAUGACAGUCCGAUACAUAAUGGUGAAGAACUUCCCUAUACAAUCCAACAUUGUGCUCUGAUUCCCAUAAAUUGUAUCAUCUAGUUGGAGUGGAAGUAAUGCAGAUGAGCCUCACUGAAGUGUGUUUUGAGGAGGGAUUUGAAAGAGGGGAAGGAUUACUAUAAAAAGUCACUCCAUCUCUGCCAGACUGGCCCCUCCACCUGGUUAUUUUGUUUGUAUUUAUCAUUUUAUGAUAAGUUGUGUCUUCGUCAAUAUACGGAACAUUGCACAUAAACAGCAUACAUUAAUACAUCUCCCACAUUUAAAUUGUCACAGUUUUUGAGACCUCUGUUUAGGCAGAGGAAGUAACUGUUUUAAUCAAAAUGUUACAAAACUAACUUGUUGUCGUGACUCUUGUCCGUCUUGUUUGUUUCCUGUGGUUUCUGAGUAUUCAUUGCAUAUCCUGCCCAAGAAGUUUUGUGUCACACAUUGCUGCUGGUCCAGGGUCUCUUAGUGGUGAGAUGUGGGGCAGGUCUGCCUGAGGGAUUUUAUGCAGUGUGGUAGCCCUGUCGGUCCCAGGAUAUUAGAGAGACAAGAAGAAAGAAGAAGUUGCGUCCAUUCUCAUAGAGGGCCAGAGAACAUACUGACCUUCCCUGUGCUAGCUUUGAUUAUAAGACUUGAUUGUCUCCUCUGCACGUCUAAGGAUCAUAACUUAAAGAAGGGAAGGAUGCUGUUACAGUUAAAACACCAGAGUGGGAUUCAGGAGACCCACAUUUAAUUCUUGGCUCUGUCACAGACUUCUUGUAUGACAUGGGCAACUCUCCUAAGUCCCAGUUCCACAAAUACUUGUGCUUAAGGCCUUGUCUACACUGCAGCGCUUUGUCACCAAAAGGCAGGAGAGGCGACCCCUGUCUUUGCAGUGUCAAUUCAGUCAGGAGAGAGAAAUGUUCUAAAGUUCCCAACAAAUGCUGGCAUUCAGCUACUACUGGAAUUUAAAGAAAGCACUGGAGCUCUGCCCUUCAUGCAACACCAUGGAGAACACACAUCCUAACAGUGCACAAGAUUGGUGCAAAGGAGGCGCAGAAGGGGAAUAUGAAAAAGUAUAGUGGAACUAAGGCAUCAGCAAGGUGAUGAUUUUAUACACCAUGAGUGGUGAACCCUAAUAGAAGUGGAGAAAGUUUACACAGAGCUGGAGUGGGGGUGCAGCUCAGAGAAUGAGGAUCUGGUAGAAGAACUAAUUUUGAGCCCCUGCACUAUGAGGGGAGAACCCUGACAGAACGGAAGAAGGUUCACAUAGAUCCAAGAAAGGGUUGCAGACCUGAGUGUGAGAAACUGGAUAAAAGACUGCUCUGCUGGAGUUUCAUUUUCUUUGCCCAAAAGGCUAACAUAUAUUACUAGCAAAGGGAGACUGAAUCGCAGAAGCAAUUCCUUCACAGUUGGAUUUUUAAAAAACCCAACAAAAUAUUAAGCUGCCUGUCUUCAGGGCUGAUGUUAGUUUCAGAAGAAAGCAUGCUUAUUUUGUCCACUUUUCUUUCUUUCUAGAAUGAACUCUCGUUCUUUAGUUUUGUAGUAAUAGAAAUCGUAAGGAUGAAAGACAAAAAGCAAACUUUAAAUUUUUCUUCAAGGGAGGGCUGAGAGUAGAAACAAGUGUGUGUCAAAAAGUUUUCACAGGAACUUUGAACCAAGACUAUUGCUGCACUUCCUGUGCUUCAAACAUUAAAAAGUAUCUUAUCUUCCUGGGGGAAUAUUACAAUCAUGGAAAAGAUAAUACCAUUUAGUGUACAAGUUGUUAAAUCAACUUUGUUCACUUUUUUUAAGAGAUAAAGACAAGUUUUAGUACCACUGUUGUGACGCAACAGACAAAACACAAAAAAUAAUCUGUUCCCAUUUCUCCUAAAUAUCCUCCUAGAGCUCUUAAAAGCUGCUGUGUUUAGAGAGACACUUCCAUUCCACCAAGGAAUACUAAAAAGAAUGCACCAAGGUUUGUUUAUAUCCCCAGACCACAAGGGGACUCAUGGAGUGGGAGGAUAGGGAAAAAUUCUGUUUCCUAAUUAAACAGCAAGAUCAGUUUCCCACAAGAGAAGCCCCAAGAUGCUAUUGGAUUACAAUUGCUGUCUGGUGGAAAUUAUUGUUCUAUAUACUUCCAUGUUAGAUUCACUUUAUUUUUUUUUAAUCCAAAAAUGUCCUUGGCACGCAAAGUAACAAAAGAUCUAUCAGAAAAAAAAUCACAGAACACCCACAUUAGAAAUUUUAGAAGAUUAAAAUCAUGCCCUACAGUGAACUUUGUCUAUUUAUGUAAAACAAACAAUUAGAUGUAAUAUUUUUCCUGGAUUUUUUUUUUAAACAUUCCUACUUCCUCUCAUUCAGUGUUGGAAGUGAGUGGUCAGAACUAGGAGCCACGUUGAUUUAUUCAGCUUGAUCUUUGGUCAAGAGAGGUUGUGGACUUCAGCCCUGGCCUACUUACAACAGUUUCCAACCACAACAUGCUGUCACUUUACUUCAAAAUCUCCAAACUCCAUAGGCUACUCUGUAAACAAGUAUUAUUUCAAAGGGAUUAGUGUUUAAGCCAAACAUGCCCAACGUAGUGCAAACUCUAGAAAGUAGGAGAAUGACAAGCUAUGGGAUACCUCAUAACCAUACCUAAUGCCCCAUAAUCCCUCCCAUGUGUAUGAUAAAAGGUACAAGAGAUGCAAGUCCACAGCAUGUUUGCUCUCAGAGGUUGGGCCUGUUUCUGUGCAAAUCUGGGAGAGCAAGUAGCUUAAAGAAGUUAAGGUUGGGAUCUGCAGCAGACAACUCCUCCUCUAACCUUCUGCACAGCAACUCCCUGACUUCAUGAUCCUCUCAGGUACAUAGCACUAACAUCAGCCCGCUCUCCUGCAUAAAUAUUGUCUUCAUUAAGUAUCAGGGAAGGAAAGUCACUGCAGUUUGACAGCAACUCAAAAUACUGACUGCUUUGUAACUUCCAGUGGAGAAUAUAGGCUAUCAGGACUUCUUCUCCCUUUGUCUUUCCUCCUACUUGCCCAAAAUUCAAGUUUUGAGGUCAUUCUCACACCACCUUUAAAAGCUAAACUUUGUCAUACCAAAUACAGAGAGAGUUAGAUGCCCAUGUUUUCCAUAAAUCCUUUCUUUAUGCUUCCAAACCAGCUGCUGAAUCAUUUCACUUCUCUGUCCUCCAAUCCAUAUCAGGUAAUCUCCACACCCACCCACACCUUCUCUCCGACAUGGAAAGGUGGGGGCUGGGGGGAUGAUUGCCAUCUCGGUUGCACACAUCUCCAGGAGGGGGCUCAGCAGGUCUGGCUGCACGCUGGAGGAGGGAGUGGAGACUGGGUGAGGCUGGGCAAGAGGACAUGUUUCUUCUUCAGCCCCACAGAGUGGAUGUAGAAAAGAUACUGUUUAGGCCUGCAUUAUUUCUUCAGCUGAGGAAAUCUCACUGAGAAUCUGUUCAAGUUGGGUGGCUGGGACAGAGUCUCCCUGCUCACACCUCUCACAACCCAUGGAAUAGGCCUCAUGGUCUUUGCCCCAAACCUGGUGAUCCACAGGAAUAAAUAGGAAACCAGAUAUCUCAGUAUCAGCUCUGGCCCCUUGGGGCCCUUUCCAGCUCUGGGCAAUGCAUCUCCAUUAGAGCCAUGGCUGGUCGCGGGACCUGCCCAGUUACGGGGCACUCAUCCUAUCAGUUUGUUUUUACUGAAAAAAUGCUUCGUGGGCCAGAGGAGAAUUGGAGCAAUACAAUGCUACCAUUAAACUAAUUCUACAGAAUCCAGCCAUGGUUUCCCAGUAAAUCUGUUUUCUAUCAGUUGCCUAUAAUGCAUGGGUGAGAGUUAAAAUUGUAGCAAAAUUAAUUUAAUGGAAAGUUCAUUUAAAAAUAGAAGGGACAACCAAGUUGUAAAGCAUGAAUACAUUCAAGUUUUGGAGUCCCUGUAUUACUUGUUGUUGAAACCAACAGAAAAAAGUUACUUGCAUUUACAGGAAGUUUUAAUACCUAUGCUUGACCAAACUGAGUUAAGUAAUAUAACGGAUUAAAAAUUUAAGAAAAAUCAUUUUCCUGUUUGCUUAAUUCCCUCUGGACACCUCUACAUAAUAUGAAUAAGAGUUCCCUGUCACAGAACUGCUAGUUAGUAUUUAGAGAUGCUUGUUCUUUCCCCAACCCCUACUCUCCUAGGCCCAAUCUACACAACAGUUAAGUCAAUAUAAGGCAGCUUACGCUGACCUAACUCUGUAGCAUCUAUACUAAAACACAGCUCCCACCAAUGUAAUUUGCCCAGUACACUGACUUAACUCCGCCUCGGUGAGAGUUGUAGUACUUAGGUCAAUGUAGUUAGGUCGAUGGAGUGUCAGUGUAGACACUGCACUGCUUACAUCAACUGUUGCUGCCUUUCAGAAGCCAUCCCACAAUGCCUCACACCAACCGUUAAAUUGGUGCAAGCGCUCCUGGUGAGGAUUUAAUUAUUGUGGUUGCUGUACGUCAACAUAACUUAGGUUGACUUAAUUUUGUAGUGUAGACUUGCUCUUCCAUACACAAUACUGUGCUAGCACAAUCCUUCCAAUACCAACAGGUUAUAUUUGACAGGAAUAUUAUUCUAAAUUCUUCCUUUUCUUAGACAAAUGGUUUCUGCACUCCAAAGAAUCAGAGGCUUUGGUUAAAAAAUAAAAAUUCUGUUUAAGCAGAACUCCCUAUUGAUUUCAAUGCGAGUUCUGUUAAAAACUGAUGGUAAGAUAUGACCCAAAGUCAUGAAUCAAAUAUCUACUAGUAGUUAAACGGUAAGUUAUUUUUCUGAAACUAUAAGAACAUUUUACAUAUUUUUUUUUUGUUUUUUUUUUUACUAUGACACUCACCAAAAAGAGAAAAACUUAAAAAUAUGGAAUGUCAAAAUGUAUGGAGAAGCAGAGGUUCCAAGUUAUUACCAGUUCGAAGUAUAACUAAUAUUCUUCCAUAAAAGAAAUGACAUGAGACGGACACUUAAGUUAAUUACAUAGGAUUUCAUCUGCAAAACUAUAAGAAGGAAGCAAGAUUGAGUCACAAUAAAACUGCAUUGAGACAAGUACUAUAAUUUAUCAGUCACAAGGAAAUGCUGUAUCAGAUUGCUAAGGAGUUUCACAGUUGCUACAAAAGCAAUAGUGGAGGCCAGCCAAAAGGCCUUAGAAGAAGCCAACCCAUAUAGAUGCCACUGUUGGAGAGGGUGGUGUGGGGGUGGGGAAACUGUUCCAUAGCUUGGCAUCCGAGUCUAGCAGCUGCCAAGCAACAUUCAUUAGUAGCCAGAGUGCUGGCUCCAGUGCUAGAACACAUCCAGGAGGAGAACAAAGGGCAGCAAACUGAAGACACUUGGAAAUUUCGGUCUAAGAGAAGACUGAAAUUGUGCACAGAUGCCAAUUUCCUUUUUAAUACCAUUGCUAGAAAACAGAUGUUGUUGACAGAAGCCUGAUCUCUAGAUUUAUGAAUGAAAACUAAACUGAUGUUUGUAAUCAAGAUGAGAGCUUUGUUAGAAUUUUGUUCUAAUAGCACAGUGUUGGCAUUGGCAGCGGAAAGGAGGAAAGGUCAGAUUGUGACUCAAGGCAAUAAAUAAUGUUGUUAUUUUCAUUCCCACUGCAGAUUGCUUUGUUAAACAAAUGACAUUUCAGGAGGUUUGGGGCUCUAUUAAAAUACCCACUCAGUUAAAGUUUUCCAAAUUCCGCUACGUAUUAUGGGCUGUGUUUGAAGGGGUGAUGUCUAGGGGAAAGAAGAGAACUCAAAUAGUCAUUGCUGCUGGUUGUAAACAAAUCUGAGAUACGCAUAAUAGAGAACUUGUGUAGAACCAUUUUAACAGAAAUAAUGAACAUCUAUAUUGUAUAUGCUAAAAUGCUGUAUACAAUAUUUAUAGUAGCUGGAAAGCAAAGGAUCUGAAAUUCAGAAGCAGUUUAAUAAUGAUCUGCUUAGGAAGAAAAAGUAGACAAGCUGUCAUCCAUGUAAUGUUUAUAACUAAACUAAAUAGCAUUCACUGCACCUUUAAGAAAACUCAAUCUACCAAAAGUAAUGUGGGUUUGGAGAAGACUGGAUGCCAGACUAUACAAAUGAAAUAUUAGUUUAGGCAUGAUAGACUUUAUUUUGGCACUUUAACAAAUAUUUUAUUUUACAGCAGUGGCACAGCAUUUGCCUGAAAUUUCCUUUUCUUGGCACAGUUGUUUCAAGCAGUUAUUUUAUUAACUGAAUUUCACUAAAUAUUGCACAAUGAGAUAUACCUGUUAAAUAUUAACCCUGUUUUUAAUUGGUGAAGAUAUAUGGCUUCAGAAAAUCUGCUAGGAAGUGUAAGUAGUUAAAAAGAAACGAUUAUAGUGCAAGAAUAAUUUUAAUUUUUCCUAAAUGACCACUGAACUUGGGGCAGCAGCAAAUAGAAGUUAUGAGAUUCUUUUCUCUGGAGACCUACUAUAUUGUAUAUACAAAGAUAUAUACUUGUGAGAAGUAGUUCAGUUCAAUCUUCUGCCCACCUAGUUUUGAAAGUAAGAAAAUCAGAAAAGAAAAAAUUAACAGACCUGAGGACAGAGCCUAACAUAGGCAAGUAUGCUGCUGUCAUCUCCAUAUGUCUAUCGGUUGCACAGCUAUUUGAAUCCUAACUAACAAAGCCCUUUCUCUUCUACUUGGAACAUUUCUAUCUUCUCAUAUAAAGAUAUUCCACUUCUCAAUUCUCCUUCUGGAGUCUAAGUUGAAUCAAGCUGAGGUCCUCCAAAAGUGGAAUAAAAGAACGAAUAAAGAAAUUAUAUCCAUAAUAAAUGAAACUCUAUGUACUCCUUUGAGUUUUACAACCUGAAAUUAACAUCUGCUGAAAGUCUAUGUCUGUGCCAAUGCUGCCAUUGAAUAUAAUGCAAAGAUUGAAAUCCUCAUAAUUAAACAGGCAAGUUCCAAGCAUGUACAUGAAGAAACAUUGAGCAUUUUCCCUGCUACUUCUGAAUCUGUUCAAAGCAUGAGCCUCAUCAAUAGCUUUUUUUUGGUCUUGGAUUCCAGAUAACAUCCUCCAAGAUUUAAUAGACAUAAUUUGUGAUAUUAAACAUAACCAAGUAGGAAUAAGAUGAAAAAAGUACAAAAGUAUAUGACUAUGACAUUUCAGUAUUAGGCCACAUGAUUUAUUCAGUAGUGUUUAUGUUCCCAAAUUACAGUUUAUGUCUAUCCAUGUAAGACUACAAAAGUUACCAUUAGAACUGGCUGUGCUUAUAAAAUACCAACAUUUUCUUUUACUGUUAUAUAUUCAUUAACACCAGUCUGCGACGAGUUACGUAGAAUCAUAGGCACUUCAAAAGGCUUUAAAAGACGUUUACAACUUAAAUGUAUUUUUAAGAACAAAAAUUGAUUUUUAAACCCCUACUUAUAACUUCAGAUUGCAAGAAAUUAACAAAUACAGUGGCCAUAGAAAUCUGCAGCAACUUCUCAGAAUACUGUUAGAGUCUUUGGGUUUGCUUAGGCUUGUCAGUAGCUUACUUCAAAUCUUCCUUAAAGAUUUGUUUAGUAAGGAUAUGACUAUACAGUUUGUAGUAAUAAUCCAAUUUUACACAUUAAUUUGCUGUUACAAUUUCACUGAAGCUACAGUUACUUUGAGAAACAAUGCAAAGUGUAAAAUUGAUAUUCGGACACAAAUUUAUACAAAGUGGAGAUUAAAGUUUA